rnacentral:rRNA from 1 species
UGCAAGUCGAGCGGGCGUAGCAAUACGUCAGCGGCAGACGGGUGAGUAACGCGUGGGAACGUACCUUUUGGUUCGGAACAACACAGGGAAACUUGUGCUAAUACCGGAUAAGCCCUUACGGGGAAAGAUUUAUCGCCGAAAGAUCGGCCCGCGUCUGAUUAGCUAGUUGGUGAGGUAAUGGCUCACCAAGGCGACGAUCAGUAGCUGGUCUGAGAGGAUGAUCAGCCACAUUGGGACUGAGACACGGCCCAAACUCCUACGGGAGGCAGCAGUGGGGAAUAUUGGACAAUGGGGGCAACCCUGAUCCAGCCAUGCCGCGUGAGUGAUGAAGGCCCUAGGGUUGUAAAGCUCUUUUGUGCGGGAAGAUAAUGACGGUACCGCAAGAAUAAGCCCCGGCUAACUUCGUGCCAGCAGCCGCGGUAAUACGAAGGGGGCUAGCGUUGCUCGGAAUCACUGGGCGUAAAGGGUGCGUAGGCGGGUCUUUAAGUCAGGGGUGAAAUCCUGGAGCUCAACUCCAGAACUGCCUUUGAUACUGAAGAUCUUGAGUUCGGGAGAGGUGAGUGGAACUGCGAGUGUAGAGGUGAAAUUCGUAGAUAUUCGCAAGAACACCAGUGGCGAAGGCGGCUCACUGG